rnacentral:tRNA from 1 species
CAGUCCAGCAGUGAAUGCACAUCAAAUUGCAAAUUUGAACAAGCACCCCAAAAGGGUGCCCGGACU